rnacentral:lncRNA from 10 species
UGGACUUGUGUAAAAAAGAACUUUCCCUCUUUCAAUAAUUUGGUUAUCUUUCAAUAUUUUUAUACCACAGAGCAGAGAAUAAGCAAAAAAGUUGCAAUAAGUAAUGCCCGUAGGUCUUGGAUCCAUGUGGGACAUCAUCCAGGGGAACCUGCCCUUGGUGUGUCCAGCCUGCACCUAGUGCAGCUGAAGGGCACUGGGAGGGCCUUUGUUCCUUGGGUAUGUUAAAUAAACUGGGUUGUGCACCUGCAUUUUCACUGUGACCUGUCAUGUGAAGUCAGGUGUGGAAUUUUCCACUUGUGGUGUUAUGUUGGUUCUCAAAAAGUUUUCGAUUUUGGAACAUUUCGGAUUUCAGAUUUUCGGGUUAGGGAUACUCAGCCUAUACCACGUGUUGUGGCCGGAUGCUUCACAUUUACUAUUAAUCAUGGACCAGGCUUGGUGGCUCACGCCUGUAAUCCCAGUACUUUGGAAGGCCGAGGUGGGCGGAUCACCUGAGGUCAGGAGUUCCAGACCAGCCUGACCAACAUGGUGAAACCGUCUCUACCAAAAAAUUUAAAAUUUGACAGGAGUGGUGGCACAUGCCUGUAAUUCCAGCUUCUUUGGAGGCUGAGGCAUGACAAUCACUUGAACCCAGGAGGUGGAGGUUGCAGUGAGCUGAGAUCGUGCCACUGCACUCCAGCCUGAGUAAGAGUGAGACCUUGUCUCAAAAGAAAACAAAAAAAAAACCAGUAAAACAAAAAACAAUAAACAAAAACAAAACAAAACAAAACAAAAAACAAGGUUAACGGAACCUCAUGAUUGGAUGAGAUGGCUGUGGGAAGCUGGGCUGCCCAGGAAGCGGACUCAGAGAGCAAACCGUGCGCCUGCCUUCCACACUGGAAGGGAGCGUCAGGAAGCCGAACUGCAGAGGGUACUGACGCAGCCCCAACACUUCUCCCCGACCUCAGGGGGGAUUCAGUAGCUGGAGAUUCCCGCAGCUGCCCCACGUUGGGGGUAAGGCUGGGCAUUUGUUCCUCCCCUAUUGUUCAGUCAUUGGCUGUGGGCGGCCCCAGGAAGAAGGUGUGACCUUGGGUGGGGCAGUCUUCUUCAGCCAAUCCUCAGAAAGGACUAACAGCACUCUCAGCAGAGGGAGACUGAGUCCUUCAUUCCUGGGAGGUGUCUGGGAAGCACAUCGCAGUGUGCACCGCAGCAGGUAUUAAUGUGUCAUUUUACAGAUAAGAAAACUGAGGUUCAGAAGGGACAGAGCCAGGAUGUCAGCCUAGAUCUAUUAAUACCUUUGAAUCCUGUGCUCUUUCCCACCGUCCUUGCUGCCAUUUCCGCACAUUUUCAUGCCUUCCCCACUUCUUACCGGGACCGCCAUGUUUCUGGGUAAUCUUGUACUCUCUGUUCUAGUCUUGCUCUCCUGUCCUGCCCCGGGCAGUCUGUCUCUUGGUCAGCUGUCUCUCUUCACCCCAGCUUUGGCUCUGUUCUCAGGGCUUGAUCCACCACAUCACAUUCCGCGCUCGCUGCUGCCUGAACUCAUCAAAGUGGACCCAGUGAAAGCUGUGUUGAGGAGGACUAUUCUGGUGCUGAGGCUGGGUACAUUCAUGAGGCCAGGAACACGGGAUUGAAUUCCAAGCAGAGCACCAGGACACCGAACAUAGGCCCAGUCCACUGGGCAUGCCACCUGGCAUUCUUCUG